rnacentral:rRNA from 1 species
UACGAAGGGGGCUAGCGUUGCUCGGAAUCACUGGGCGUAAAGCGCACGUAGGCGGGUCGUUAAGUCAGGGGUGAAAUCCUGGAGCUCAACUCCAGAACUGCCCUUGAUACUGGCGAUCUCGAGUUCGGGAGAGGUGAGUGGAACUGCGAGUGUAGAGGUGAAAUUCGUAGAUAUUCGGCAAGAACACCAGUGGCGAAGGCGGCUCACUGGCCC